GGAAACUGGAAAAGCCACAAACAACAACACAAAUAUCUGUGAGUAAACAUAAAAAAAUAAUAAUAAUAACUGAGAAAGCCAAAGAAGAAGACAAAUCUCAGGCGUUUGUGAACACACCUUGUGGAGAUGGAAUGUCAUGUCAUCAACUUCGAUUUCAAUGUCGCUAGUGUAAGCUCUCUCUUCACCAUGCUUGGCCCUUGGAGCUAGAUUUCUCUGACGCCAUUAAUGGAGACAACAACUCUGUGAAGAAAGGCUCUGAAAAAAAGACAGAAAAAAACAAUAGCCUAUCUCUUUCUAAUGAUAAUAUGGAGAGAACAAGAAGGGAAAGGGGAAGGAAUUGGAAUCCUAGAUCAUGAGAAACAGAGAAAGAGACACAUUAAAAGAAAAACAUUAUUCGGAUUUCGAAAAAGGGGAUCUUGUUUUUGUGAUCCUCCAUCUUUUUAUUUUCUUUAAUUUUAAUAAUAAUAUUAAUGUUUAGUUGGAGAACAGCAAGAAUCUCAACUACUCUCUCAACGCGACACAUUUUCAGAUAAAUUACGCUUUGGGAGAUGCAAAAAUCCCACUCAUUUGUUAAUCAUUUUAAUUAAUUAUUUAGUACUCUAGUA